AUUGAACGCUGGCGGCAGGCCUAACACAUGCAAGUCGAACGGUAACAGGAAGACGCUUGCUUCUUUGCUGACGAGUGGCGGACGGGUGAGUAAUGUCUGGGAAACUGCCUGAUGGAGGGGGAUAACUACUGGAAACGGUAGCUAAUACCGCAUAACGUCGCAAGACCAAAGAGGGGGACCUUCGGGCCUCUUGCCAUCGGAUGUGCCCAGAUGGGAUUAGCUAGUAGGUGGGGUAACGGCUCACCUAGGCGACGAUCCCUAGCUGGUCUGAGAGGAUGACCAGCCACACUGGAACUGAGACACGGUCCAGACUCCUACGGGAGGCAGCAGUGGGGAAUAUGGCACAAUGGGCGCAAGCCUGAUGCAGCCAUGCCGCGUGUAUGAAGAAGGCCUUCGGGUUGUAAAGUACUUUCAGCGGGGAGGAAGGGAGUAAAGUUAAGACCUUUGCUCAUUGACGUUACCCGCAGAAGAAGCACCGGCUAACUCCGU
rnacentral:rRNA from 1 species